rnacentral:rRNA from 1 species
AGAGUUUGAUCCUGGCUCAGGACGAACGCUGGCGGCGUGCCUAACACAUGCAAGUCGUGCGAGAAAGCUCCUUCGGGAGUGAGUAGAGCGGCGGACGGGUGAGUAACACGUGAGCGAUCUACCCAAGGGUGGGGGACAACUCAGGGAAACCUGAGCUAAUACCGCGUAUAGCGCCGGCUUGGAAGCCUGGCGUGAAAGCUGGCCUCUACUUGUAAGCUAGCGCCUUUGGAUGAGCUCGCGGCCUAUCAGCUUGUUGGUGGGGCAAUGGCCUACCAAGGCAAUGACGGGUAGCUGGCGUGAGAGCGCGACCAGCCACACUGGGACUGAGACACGGCCCAGACUCCUACGGGAGGCAGCAGUGGGGAAUAUUGCGCAAUGGGCGAAAGCCUGACGCAGCAACGCCGCGUGGGGGAGGAAGGCCUCAGGGUUGUAAACCCCUGUCAGGUGGGACGAAUCCCGUAAUGGCAAAUAGGCGUUACGAUUGACGGUACCACCAGAGGAAGCUCCGGCUAACUCCGUGCCAGCAGCCGCGGUAAUACGGGGGGAGCGUGCGUUGUUCGGAAUUACUGGGCGUAAA